CAGUGGCAGAUUCCUCUGACUGUAGCAGUGGGGAAUUCGACUUACAAAUCAUCAGAAGUCAUCCUCUGGAUCUCCAAUAAAACAGAGACACACAAAGUGGGCCGGAUCGAUGAGGACAUGUGGUUGCUAGGCAACAUCAACCAGACCGGGUACUUCCGGGUGAACUACGACCUCCACAACUGGAGGCUCCUCAUUGGACAGCUGAUGACCAACCCUGAGAUAAUCUCUGUUGGCAACAGGGCGGGGCUCAUCGAUGAUGUCUUCAAUCUGGCCAGGUGCGUUUAAUGGCCGCCUCAUCACAGGAUUCUGUUUCUGUU